rnacentral:rRNA from 1 species
GGACCCGCACAAGCGGUGGAGCAUGUGGUUUAAUUCGAUGCAACGCGAAAAACCUUACCUACUCUUGACAUACUUGGGAGCUCUUGUAAUGAGAGUGUGCCUUUUGGAACCAAGAUACAGGUGCUGCAUGGCUGUCGUCAGCUCGUGUCGUGAGAUGUUCCCGUUAAGUCGGAUAACGAGCGCAACCCUUACCCUUAUUUGCCAGCGAUUCGGUCGGGAACUAUAAGGGGACUGCCGGUGAUAAACCGGAGGAAGGUGAGGACGACGUCAAGUCAUCAUGGCCCUUACGAGUAGGGCUACACACGUGCUACAAUGGGGAAUACAGACGGACGCUAAGCCGCGAGGUGGUGCUAAUCCUAGAAAGUUCUUCGUAGUCCGGAUCGAAGUCUGCAACUCGACUUCGUGAAGUCGGAAUC